CAAUAAGGGGGGUGUAGUGUUUGAAUGCCGCUUGGGCUUCAAGCCCAAGCUUCUAACCAUUCCAACCGGGUUCAGCAUGAGCAACCCGAAACUAUCCCCCUCUUCACACGGAAGCCCGUCCCUCAUCUCCAAAACCGAACGGAGGAUCGAAACGACGGGAAGCUUAUUCAUAAUACCAAGACCCACGGUUCGCGGUGCAAGAAACUCAGAAUCUAAAUCGUGCGUACCACUAUGAACAUAAAUAAAGAUCAAGAACUAUAUUUCUCGCUAAGGAUCAAGAACAACGAUUUUCGAAUCCGUGACGAAAAUUCAACAUCAGAAUGUAACCGAGACCAAAUCGAAGCGAACUUUGUUCCGAAAUUGGAUUCCUUGUACCAGUUCUCGCGCGUCAUCAAGUUUUUUUUAAUACAAAGGGGGUUGGAUUGGAUGUUGUUAGGGAGAGAUUCGUUCAGUUUCUCUUGGUUCUGUUAUGAAGCAGUUUGAGGUUAUUGAAAGUUGGUUAGAAGUUGGUAAUAGGUUGUUAGAAAUUCAUGUAGAGUUUGAUUUGGUAGUUAGGAGUUUGUUACAUUCGGUUGAGGGGUGGUUAUCCUGUUAGAAAAAUAGUUAGCUUGAUAAGUUGGUUAUGAUAGUUAGGAUGCUGUUAUAUGUUUUGUUGCCUUCCAGAUCCAGUUCUGUUGAGGUUUUAAGGGCUUUUAUUGAGUUCCAUUUUGGUAUGACUUGUCGGUUUUAUCGAUUGUGGCAGUCGGUUUUUUGGUUGGCUUAUUCAGUUCUGGUUUUUGUAGGGUUCAUUUGCUUGAGUUAGGAAGCAUGUGGGACUGAUUUUUGUAGCAAGUCUUCAUGGUGGGAUGAUGUUGCCUUAUUGCUUCCUUAUUGCUUCCUUAAUGCGGGAGCUCGAUCAAUUAGUUGCAGUGCCGCCAGUCUUAUGCUUGAUGGGGAUAGAAUAUGUAAUAAUGGAGAAAUUAAGUCUUUAACAAAAGAAGUAGUUGUAGCAUGAUCAAAUAGGAGCAUAUGGGUGCUUAAGAGGAUGCGAUGAUGGGAUGCCAAUUUCCAAACUCUCUUCCUUUGAUUCAAACCAUAUAUUGUGAUAUUAUGUAAUAGAAUUAGAGAUUUUAUGUUUAUGAAUGGAUUGGGAAAUGUAUGCAUUUGUGAUUGAAUGGUUAAAUGAAAUGCAAUUUGGAAAACUGAAAAUAGAAUGGAAUGGAUGUGUUAUGAAAAUGGUUAUUGAAUGGUUUCAAAAAAUGUAAAAUUUUUGGAGAUUGAAAUUAAGAUGGAAUUGAUGUAUUGUGUUCAUAAUGAAUGGGAUUAAGGUUAAUGGUUUAAUGAUGAAUGGAAACAAGGUUUUGGUUUGAAAUUGUGGUUUGGGUUGACUUUGGUCAAGGUUGACCAAAAAGUCAAUUGUUGACCAAAGUCAACACUUGGUCAAAGUUCCACUCUUUUUUGUAUUUUCUCAUGUAAUGGACAUUGUAAUGAUUGAAGUUGGCCAUUUGAAUGAAAUUGGAUUGGUUUUUGAA